AUACAAAUCACCUGGAGAUCUUGUUAAAAAGCAAAUUCAGGGUCAGAUUCAGUUUGUCUGGGGGGUGCCUGAGGUUUUGCAUUUCUAAUAAGCUCCUAGGUGAUGCAUAU
rnacentral:pre_miRNA from 1 species